AUCUUAGUGCCAACUUUUCUGUUCUUAGGAACCGAUAUUGCUGCUGGUGAGGAGGUUGCCAUCAAAUUGGAAUGUGUGAAAACCAAACAUCCUCAGCUCCACAUAGAGAGUAAAAUCUACAAAAUGAUGCAAGGAGGAGUUGGUAUUCCAACAAUUAAAUGGUGUGGAGCUGAAGGAGACUAUAAUGUAAUGGUGAUGGAGUUGUUGGGACCAAGCCUUGAAGACCUAUUCAAUUUUUGCUCAAGGAAAUUCAGUCUGAAGACAGUCCUGUUGCUUGCUGACCAAAUGAUUAGUCGGAUUGAAUAUAUCCACUCUAAGAACUUCAUCCACCGAGAUGUAAAACCUGAUAACUUCCUGAUGGGUCUGGGAAAGAAAGGCAAUCUGGUCUACAUCAUAGACUUUGGGUUAGCCAAGAAGUAUCGGGAUGCUCGAACUCACCAGCACAUUCCAUAUCGUGAAAAUAAAAACUUAACAGGAACUGCCCGUUAUGCAUCUAUAAACACUCAUCUUGGAAUUGAGCAGUCUCGCAGAGAUGACUUGGAGUCCUUGGGCUAUGUACUGAUGUAUUUUAACCUGGGCUCCCUCCCCUGGCAGGGAUUGAAGGCAGCAACAAAAAGACAGAAAUAUGAACGUAUCAGCGAAAAGAAAAUGUCUACGCCCAUUGAGGUUUUGUGUAAAGGAUAUCCUUCUGAAUUUGCUACGUACCUGAAUUUUUGCCGUUCUUUGCGUUUUGAUGACAAACCAGACUAUUCGUAUCUGAGACAGCUAUUCAGAAACUUGUUCCAUCGACAAGGCUUCUCCUAUGAUUAUGUAUUUGACUGGAACAUGCUCAAAUUUGGAGCAAGCAGAGUCGCUGAAGAUGCUGAACGUGAAAGGAGAGAGCGAGAGGAAAGGCUGAGACAUACACGAAAUCCUGCAGUACGUGGUUUGCCCUCCACUGCCUCUGGGAGGCUGAGGGGAACGCAGGACGUAACUCCUCCUGCUCCCCUUACCCCAACUUCGCAUACCGCUAACGCCUCUCCUCGGCCAGUGUCUGGAAUGGAGCGAGAACGGAAAGUUAGUAUGAGACUGCAUCGUGGUGCUCCUGUCAAUAUCUCUUCGUCUGAUUUAACAGGCCGCCAAGAUACUUCUCGCAUGUCAACUUCACAGAAUAGCAUUCCCUUCGAGCAUCACAGCAAGUAGCUGCUCAUCUCCUCGUUGGAAGGCAGCACUGGAAGGAAAAUGCAGAUUACCUGAUGUGUCUACUAUACAGAUUCCUGCUCGUGUGACUCCCAGUGCUCUCCAGUCUGCUGUGCAACGGUGAAACUCAUUGUGUGAUAGACGGCAGAUAAUGCAUGGCUGAUUGCCUAUGUCACAAUGGCUUUACUAGCAGAAAUAUCCCGAGAGGGAGCAGAAACCUUACAACUGGAGCUCUCCAGGCCACUUACUAAGAGAUACUUGCAGGAACAUGGACAGACUCCAUUAAAAAAGGCUCUUGCCAGAAACCCAAUGACCUUAAGUGAACUCUGUAGCAACAGGGCUGGAAAAGGAAGAGAUGGUUUACGGAGUUUACCGCCUGUUAUUGAAUAGCCAUUUCAGUUCUCCUUCUACAGGCGGCAGACUUUACCCAUUUUUAUUAUUCUACUGUAACUAUCAAUCUUUUACCUGCUUGGUUUAAGAAAAUUUUAUAUCAUUUUGCUAAGAUUAUUAGCUUAAUUCUGUGUAAAGAAUUCUGUCUUGCUUACGUCUGAUUUAAAAAUGUCAACUAUGAACAAUCCUGAAUUAAAGACGAUGACUUGAAAUUUCUUGUAAAGUUUAGUCUGGCAGGGAAUAUGUAAAUUGAUUAAAACCAUCUGAUUUUAUUUAAACUCUAUACUUUUUUUGUAUGGUCCCAUUCAGGGUGAGGGAGUUCUGCUGAGAGUUUUUAAAUACGUGUUAUAGUUUUAUUACUUUGCUUCUUCCACAUUUUAAAUGGAAAUCUCCAUGCAAUACAAACAUUUUUGAAUUUUUUACUCUUCUCUAGUACAGUCAGAGAAAGCAAAAGAUGCUGGACAGAAAGGUCUAGGCCCCUUAGAGGUGGUGAUUGUUGGUAGUUAACUUAUUCCUAAAGAAUGUGAAGAAUAGAGAGAGAGAAGGGCUCUGAUAUUUAAGAGGAAUUUGUUGGAGUUAAGAGAUGGUAAGCAUGGCCUGUCAUUCUCUUUCAUUUGAGAUGGAGGAUUGUGUAUAAAACACUUUUUCAUUGGUAAGAUCUAGUUUUCUACACUGUGAGGCUGGCUGCUUUGCAGACAGUUGCAAGUGGAACAAGAAUUACUGCUAUUGCAGACUGAGUGAAUUUGUACUACAUUUGCUUCAGCAUCCAUAUAGGUAAAAACAAGUGACUUUGGUUACUGAGUAUUGCCAGGACUCAAAAAGGAAUUAUAAACAAAAUAAUCUUGGUGUGAAAUCCUGAGAACUGAUUUUGAGGCAUGAACUACAUUCCUAAUAUAAUGUAAGCUGUAUAUUUCUGGAAUUGCUAUUAAUUAUGGGGAGUUAAAUGACUUAUUCGUAUGCCUAGAAUGGCCAAUAUAAAAAGUGCUCUUGACAGAUGUCUCUAUUAAGGAAUAUGGAAGGAUCUUUACAUUGUUUCUAACUUAAAACAUUUUCGUAAAGUAAUGCUACAUAUUUUAUCCUUGCAGUAACUUGAAAAGUAGAAUUAUUAGUCUUACUAACUAUUAUUCAAGCAAAAUAAUGUCAGUUUCCCUAUUGAAGAUGAAAGUGCAAUACAAGUUAUUUGAAAGAUUCUGUCCUAUUUGGAAGUAUAGACUAAAAACAAAUCCAUUAAUGGUAUCCUUGUGCCUCAAAUUUUGUUAGGAAUAGAUGUUGUUGUUGUUGGUGUUGUUCCAAAUUCAUUUUCUAUCCAAAAUCCACAGACAAAAUCUGUUAGUCACUUUUCUUGAGAGAUUUCAGAAUGCUAACUAAUUGCUUGUGCUUUCUCUAGAUCUCACUGGGGGAAUCUGUGUGUUGGGGGAGUGUAAUGGAAAUAUAUAAAAGUUUGGUCCCUGGGUAAUUUUGUGUAACAGACUCCCUUACUUGGUUACUGCAGAUUUCCGUAUGUAAGGCAUGUGCACUACCAUUUGUACAAUUCUCCAUGUCACUGUGCGUGCUUUGUAAAUACGUGUGAGUAAUGAAGUCAUGUUAGAGAGACAUACAAGGCAGCCUUUUUUUCCUUCCUCUUAAAUUACUGUCCUUCAAAUGCUGACUGAUGCAAAUUUCCAGAAUUGUACUUGGUUGUGGGCUGUUGCCCUUUCAUAAAGUUAUAUCCCAUCACCUACAAAAAAUAGUUAAGAGUGUCUGUAUAAACCUGUGUAUUGGUAAGUGAUAUCUGAGAACACCUCAUUUGUACUACCACUGUAUUUGUGUACUUUAUCAAUUGUGUAAAUAAUAAAUUCAUAAUGACUUCUA